UAUAGGUCCUUGUAGCAAUAACAGUCAACAUCAACUAACCAGCUCUUUUGUCUUCCAAAGUAGUACUUAAGUCUUGUAGAAUUCUUAACCUUCUUAAAAUAUCCUCCAAAUUUUACCUUCAAUUUGAAUAGUUGUUGCUCCAUUUAAGAACCUGUACAUUGAAUAAAUAAAUAUGCACGGUAUAAAUUGUAAGAGAGUGUUUAUCAACCAAACCUAUUCUAACAAAAUAAAAGAAAAAAAGAAUAAUAUACAGCCAUAUUAUAUUUCAACAAUCAAUCAAAAAUGGGUGAUAUUUCGCCUUUGUUACCCUCAAAUAAAGUAUAUGGUAUACAGUUAGAAACCAAAAAAUAGAGUUUCAAUAUAGGUUCAUAGCGAAAAAUAGGAAUGAAAUAAAAUCAGCUACAACAAUUAUUAUUGUUGUUCUAACACUUGUAAUGAUUUUUUUUUGGUUCAAAUUAAUAGAAGAAAAUUAGUAUAAAUCAACGAAAGAGAAGAGAGGGCAAGAUGAUAUUUAAAUACCUUUGUUUAUGAUCAACUUUGUUUAUGAUCAACAGAUGGAAGAGUUUUUGAAGGUUUGAAAGAUCGACCGCGUCUUUGGAAAGGAUGGAUUUACAACCCAGAAAUUUUUUUUGUUUAUUCUUUGUUGGGUUCGAGAACAGGGAGGAAGGGGGUAGGAGGUCCCGAGCGAGCGCAUCGCGAUCUCGAGACGCUCUCGCUCGCCAUGUGCCGCGGGAUCACGAUCUCGCCAUCGCG
rnacentral:lncRNA from 1 species